AUGUUGUCGGAGGUCGCGGUCGAGGAGGACGCGGCCGUCGCGGGAGUCCUGCACGGUCCAGUGGCAGUAGGAGUCGAUGAAGGAGAAGUAGAAGUCGGCGGCGAGGGCGAGCGCGCGGGCUGCGGGCGCGGAUGGGUGCGGCGGCAAAGCGGGACGGAACCUGCCGUAGUCGAGGAAUCCGAGGAGUGGUGGUGCGUGGAGGCGGCGGAAUCUGCGGAGGAAGGAGCCGUCGGUGGAGAUUUGGCGGAAGGUGACGCAGGCUGCGGAGGCGCGGGCGAGGUCGGCCGGGUCGGGCAGGCGGAGGAAGAUCUCGGCAAGGAGGUGGUCCGGGAUCUCCGUCAGAGGCGACGCCAUCUCCUGAUCUUCUGA
rnacentral:rRNA from 1 species